ACCCCACACCCAGCACUAGUGUGGUUGACUCAGGCAGGGUAAGAUAGAGCAGCCCCCAAAGUAGGCAUGCUACUCACUGCGGUCUGAGCUUCGGUCCUUGUUGCCAAAACCUCCAGAAUCCUCAAAAUAGGAGAUGGGGUGCUUCUGGGGAAGACGCGGGCAAACUGAAAGAGCUUUAUCAGGAUACUACACAUGUCGAUACUGGUGGCCUUAUGCAUGUAAAAUGCACCAAUGCCAACAGGAGCUCAUGAAGGAUGUGCCUUUGUAUCAGCAACUGCAUUGCACAGCAGGUGGGUGUUCUGCUGUGAUGUAACUGCUUUACAUAAUAUUAAGUGCACGAUGUGGUGAAAAUUCACCCCACAGUUCCAAGCAAAAAUAAAUGCCUUUCACACCUCA
rnacentral:lncRNA from 1 species